rnacentral:rRNA from 1 species
UUAGUAACGGCGAGCGAACAGGGAAAAGCCCAGCACUGAAUCGCGCGGCCCACUGGGACGCUGCGACAUGUAGUGUUUGGGAGGAUCCACUAAUCUGCGAUCUGGUGAUGCGUCCAAGUCCUUCUUGAACGGGGCCACUUACCCAAAGAGGGUGCCAGGCCCGUAGCGACCGUUGCCAGUUGCGGAUGGAUCUCUCCUUAGAGUCGGGUUGCUUGAGAGUGCAGCCCUAAGUGGGUGGUAAACUCCAUCUAAGGCUAAAUAUAACCACGAGACCGAUAGCGAACAAGUACCGUGAGGGAAAGUUGAAAAGAACUUUGAAGAGAGAGUUCAAUAGUACGUGAAACCGUUUAAGGGUAAACCUGAGAAACCCGAAAGUUCGAACGAGGAGAUUCAGUGUGUUUCGUUAAGAGCGAGUGCUGUUUAAAGACGGUUGUCGAUUUCGGCAAUCGCUUUCUGCAUGCGCCGUAUCUUGUCGAACGCAUGCACUUCUCCUCCAGUAGGACGUCACGACCCGUUGGGUGUUGGUGUAAGGCUUGCAGUGGAGCCCGUUCGUCGGCUUCGGUCGUUCGUUCGGACCUGUGAUGUCCCGGCCAACUGCUCGACGGUAUCAAUUAGGCGCAGAGCCGCGAGACUUGUUCGCGUUCGGCCCAAUGCAAGCGUGGCCGGUAACCCGAUCGUCGGACUUGUGCCGAUCUCGGAGCCAGUCAGCUGUUUGUGUUGGUGUUCCCGAACAGACUCUGUACUCGCCUGUCUGUGACGCUAUAGCUUUGGGUACUUUCAGGACCCGUCUUGAAACACGGACCAAGGAGUCUAGCAUGUGCGCGAGUCAUUGGGACAAUCAAAUCCUAAAGGCGUAAUGAAAGUGAAGGUAGAGCUUGGCUCGACCUAAGGGAAGAUCGGUGACUUCACAGUCGCUGCGCACUCCCGGGGCGUCUCGUUCUCAUUGCGAGAAGAGGCGCACCUAGAGCGUACAUGCUGG